rnacentral:misc_RNA from 1 species
UCCCCGUUACCGGGGCAGUCUGAUUAGAAAAAUCCAACUAAUCAUAGGGGUUGCGCUCGUUGAUGGACUUAACCAAACAUCUCACGACACGAGCUGACGACGGCCAUGCAGCACCUGUCACUGAGUUCCGGGUUACAAUACACAAACUAAUUUAUGUACUCUAACCCGGCACUCACUCCUUUCAGAGUAAUUCUCAGGAUGUCAAGCCUUGGUAAGGUUCUUCGCUUAGCAUCGAAUUAAACAACACGCUCCACCGCUUGUGCGGGUCCCCGUCAAUUCCUUUGAGUUUUAAUCUUGCGACCGUACUCCCCAGGCGGGAUGCUUAACGCGUUAGCUGUGCUACUGACCGGGUCGAUACGGCCAACAGCUAGCAUCCAUAGUUUACGGCGUGGACUAC